GGAGUCUUCUGAGUCAAGGCUAAGAGCCAGCAUGGCUCCGGCUCUGGGGACAGUCCAGCAGCCCUGAUGUGCAGUGUGGGUGGCCUGUUCUGUGAACUUGGGCCUGGCCUUGUCUCUGAGAGCCCAGCUGCAGUCAGGAGGAGCAGUGGCCCCAUCACGAACAAAGGGCCAAGAUGGAGGCUGACCAAGGGCUGUUCCUGCUCACCCAUGCUACUCACCAGAAGCUCUGUGGAAAAGUGGAAACUAUGUCCCUGGUCUUCCUUUCAGGACUUGGCUGAGAUCAGGCUACUUCUUGAGAGGCCUGGAUUCAACUGAGGAAUAUCAUUUUGGAAAAUAUAGAAACUUCUAGACUGUGGAGACACUUGGGAAGGAAUGAUCUGUGUUGACUUGAAUGAAAAAAGACAUCUCUGGAUUUUACCCACAGCUGGUGAAGGCUCACCAUCCCAACUCAUCUUCUGUCGUGUAGAAAAGUCCCUGAUGCCACUACCCAGAAUGCUCUUCUCCACCUGCCCCUGUCCCAGGCACCGCAUCCUUCCCUGCCUGACCCCACCUCACCUUUGGACCCAAAGAUGCUUCUUAUUUGCUCUAUUAUCUUCGAGCCGGAUGCAGAGUGAAUAGUUAACUAUUCUUGAGUUGAAUGGGUCUUGAUUUUUUUUGUUGCUGUUCCUUGUAAAGAGAUCAUUCUCAGUGCAUGGCACGCAGCCUGGAAAAGGUAUGUGACUCCAGAGUGACACGAGAGCCAGCGUGAAGGCCCUGUUAGCUCUUGGAGGCCAGGGAAAGUGGAGACAGCUGAGCCGGGAGUUGAGUAGAGCUGGCGCUGGCUGUGGUCUUGCACUGGUUGGAUCCACAUGCAGGUGUACAUUUGGACUGGUAGAGGUGAAGCCAUUUUCUGUGACACAAAGGGAAUGAGCUAAAAGACCUUCUUCAGAGGUGGCAGUUGGCAAUCAGCUCAUCCAGGGCUGUGUGACUGAGCCGCCAGCUCCAUUGGUGUUGCCUUCUGUGCAUGUCCUCGCUGUCCUGUGUGCUGUCAGCAGCCGGAGCCUUUUCCUCCUCCCUCCUCUGUGGCCUCUACUUGUGCAGUUGGAAAUCCUUCCUAAUCAUGUCAUGACUCCACCUUCUUGACUGUGCACUCGAAGAUGUUUGAGACUUUUUUUUAUUUAUAAAAUGGAUGGAUAGUUUGUUUCCUCGAAUUGUCAUUGGCAUGAUUCUAUGGCUGUGUUCAGUGACUUUACAGUGGGGCAUUGUCUUUGGCCUCUCAGAUUCUCCAUGGUGGAAUUGAAGAGACUUCCUAAAGAUGUUUAAUGCUGCUGAAAUCCAAAGAAGGCUUACAAACAUCCACCUGCCCUCCCUCCCUCCCCCUCCAUCCCUCCUUCCCUCCGUCCCUCCCUCCUUUCCUAAGCACACAGUGCCAUUGUCUGUGUUGUAUGAGUUUCUUCAGGUUUGAAGGAAUGGUGACCCACUCCUAUUAUCCCUAUAGGUCUUUUCUAACAGUGGGUAAGGUAAUAGAAAUGGUUGGAGGGACUGCCCAGAUGGCCUGCCCUAUAAUCCCAUAGUUAGACCAUAUACUCAAGAACUACAGGGAUGACAAGGACGGUAGCAUCCAGACCGUCAUGUGCCUCCCUAUACAGUAGGAAAUAGUGUUUCUAACUCCCACAUUCCACUCUGUGGAGCUGGGGAGAUCCAGUCAUCCCAGACUGCCAAGGACAUGGGAUUUCUUGGGACAAGAGAUUUGGGGGAGCUAAACCUGGGGCUGACUUAGGAAAAGUGUCACGAUUGGUCAUCCUACUGAGUGAACCAGUGACCAUAUCUCUUCUGCUGCAGCAGCAAGGGAAAGCUUCUAGGUUGCUUGGCCAAUUCCUAUUCAGAGCUGUAUAUCUGGUCACUCUUUGGACACAGGUCUGAGCGGAUCAGGUGCUCCAUCCUGACCAAAUCUGUUAUCUGUAAGAUGGUAAGUUUGUCUUGUACUGAAGAAAAUCUGAAGUGUCAUGGGCCAGAAAAUAUGAAGUGUCGUGGGCCAGUUGAGACCAUGUCCUUCCGAGGAGUUUGUAUACAGUGGGCAUGGCAGAAAUUCAAAAUACCUGGGAUUGCUCUAGGGCAGUCCUAUGUAGGUGACACUUACCUCUUAUUCAAAAUGAAACUGCCCUUGAAGAAGCAAACCCACAGCCACCAGGAUAGUACAGGAUGCAUGGCACCAUGUUCAUGUUUGCAUGUGUGUGUGUGUGUGUGUGUGUGUGUGCUUAACACCUGUGCAAACAUGUGCUAUAGAGAAUAAACCAAGAUCAAAAAUUUGCAUCUUCGCUAGACAGAGACAAAGAGCUGAAAUCUUAGGGACGAUGUCUGGAAAGCAAGGGACUUGGCUAGGAGACUUCCUGGAAGUCCUUUGAAGUGUAGCUUUUAUUUAGACUAUCAAGGGCAUUUCAGCUGGGGAUAAGUGUGUACUUUCUCUCUAGAGUCCUCCCCGAUAACCCUGAUAACCUGGGUUCAACUCAGAAACCACUGAGUGGGACCUCCCAGCUCACUCUCCCCUUCUCAGUCACUAGCAUCAGGGAGUGGGAGGAACUUCAAGGAGGUGAGGACGGGCGGGGUCAUGCCAAUCCAAUUCGGGGUGUUCAUGACAAGUAAGAGCAAUUGAAAGGUAAAUUACAGGUUCUUUUGCAGCUUGAAAAAGCCAGGUUUUCAGGAUCACCUGGCACCUGAAGCUGUUGCUGCCUGUCAGGGCUUUCAGCCCACAUCUUUCUGCUGAAGGCUAAGCAUGAGGGUCCAUGAUGCUGGAGCAUGGCGUCCCACUAAUUCUUCUCAUCUUGAGUUGAAGGCCACAGGCGGUUAAUUACAUACUAGGGUUGCAAUGAGAUCCAGGGGUUUUGGCAUAAUUCUUGGAUUGGGAAGAAUACUAGCCUGUAUCCUUCUCUUUGGGCACCAUCUUUGAAAAGAUGACCAUGGGAUUGGGGAGAUGGCUCAAUCAAGAAACUAUGUGAGGACCAGUGUGUGGUGGUAUACAGUUAUUAACCCAAUGCUUGAGAGACAGAUUCCUGGGCUUCACUGCUCAGCCAGCCUGGCCUACUUGGCAAGUUCCAGGCCAAUGAGAGACCCUGUCUCAAAAAAACAAGGGGGCUAGAGAGAUGGCUUGGUGUUUAAGAGUGCCUGCUGCUCUUGCAGAGGACCACAGUACAGUUUCCACUCCCCACACCAGGCAGCUCACAACUGCCUGGAGCUCAAGUUCUAGGGCAUCACACACCUUUUUCUGACCUCCACAGAAACUUUGGUCUCUGCUCAAGCACACAUGUGCAUGCAUGCAUGCUCACUCUCUCACUCUGUCUCUCUGUCUCCCUGUCUGCCCCCCCAAAAGAUGAUCAUGUUUCAGCUGACCCCCUUCAUAUGUACCCUGUCACCCUUUGAUCCUAGAAGAAGCUUUGCCAUUGAGAUAGAGACAGCUGUUUCCUACUCCCUUUUCCUCCACAUAGAGCCCCCGGAUCUCAGCAGCUAAAGUACCCUACCUCAUCAGUUUUCUGGAACAAUCUAUUCACACAGGAAUCUCCUUUUAAAUUCUGACCAGAUGUCAUCCAGGCCUGGGGAGGCAGCCUUUGGUUGAGAGGGAAUUGUGAAGGGGGCUGAACAGUAUUUACCACCAUGGUGGGAAGAAGAGAAUUUGAAAGAGCAAUUCAGAGGCUGCCACGUGGCCGUGAUUGUCAACUCCUCAACAACAUUUUUGAGCUAAUAUAUUUUGUCUUCUCCCCUAAUCAGUCUCCUAUUUUUGGAUCCUAGUGGUAUGUGUAUGCUGGUUUAAAAUAAAAAUCACAGGGCAGGGAAACAGGAGACCUGAGAUUUUGAUGUCAGAAAGUCCCUCAUUUUAGCUCCUUGUAUUUAACAUGCAGGGCUGGGCACAGGUGCCUAGGACCAUCUCCUGACGACAUUCACAUUGCUGUUGUAUUUGAAGGACAAGCCAUCAGUUUUCUAGGAGUUGGUGUCUUAAAGAUCUACUGUAUUUUCUGUAGUGGAAGAGACCAUUAGCGGAUAUCCAUGGGCCAAUGGAAAUCACCCCAUCCCCGUGCUGACCACUCUCAACCUGAUCAUGACUCAGGUAUCGUGAUCAUAACGACAUUUCAAAUUUACUCUGCUCCGCACCCCUGGGAUCUUAUGGGGCAUUUGAACUUGACUCCAAACCAUAGGAACACUCUGCUCUACAAACAGACCUGGGGACCUUUCUAUGGAGAUAUGAGUAUGGAAUUACUACAGAUGGGAAGAUGUUUAUGGGGAAGUGUGGCCUCCUGCUCAGGAGACUGCAGGGCAGAGAGUACCUUUGGAAAUGACCACCGACUCUGUAGGCUUGUGGAAAACAUGUGGAGGGAAGCCUAAGGAGAUCCUUGAACUUUUGAUAGGUUGAGGAGUGGUCUGGAUACCUGGGAUCUAGUCCUUUGCCUCAACCAGCUCAAGGUCAUGUGUCAGUCACUCCACCCUGCCUCUGUGGCUCAGUUUUUCUUCGUACAUGCAAUGGAGCAGGGAAGUAAAGACGUUGCCUGUGAGUCAGGUUUGUCGCCCUGCCUGCCCUGGCUGCUGUCUAUUUCCUGAUUGGUAGCUCACUGUCCCUUCAGCUGCACAAAUUGGAAUUAAGACUGUCCCAUCCCAGGGAAGUCCAUUACCAAAGAAUACUUCAAAGAUGUUUGCACAUGUUGUCAGUUGCACUGAGCAUGAGUUUGUUGAAGGAAAAGGCAAAUAGACACACAGCUGGUGACGGGAAAUAAUGGGGGCUGUUUAGCCCUGAGUGACUGCAAGGCAAGGGGGUAAAAAAAAACCAAGUCUGCCUGUCAUUUUGACCAAUAAGUAAAAAUGGGGAGUGCUGAAUAGUUAAAGCCAUUGGGGAUUUAUUAGUUUGCCUAGUGAAGGGCAAAUAUUAAGUCUGAAAUUGACCCAUCCUGGGACCUGCCUUUUGGCUUUUGUGACCUGCCAGGUGCUGAUCUCUGCAGACUCCAAGUUACUAAGUUCUCUUCGGUUUCUUUUUUAAAGUUGUGUUCUGUCUCCCUCUUUGGUCCCUCCUUUACCUAUCCUUUCCACCUCCCACCCUUCCCAGAAACUCAAGUAUGGAUUUUGGAGGAGGUGGAAGUCUGCCGGAUCAUAAAAUUCUUUGUACCAAGGGCUCUGACUGGCCUGGGGUUGAGCUGCCUGCAAUUGGGUGGCCUUGGGAAGUGAGCUUACUAGGUUGCCGUACAGAUUCUCCAUCUUCUGACCUGGACUUUAGAGUGCUAAUAGGCAAAGGAUUUGUCCCUCAUUAAACUUACAGUGAGUACAGUGGCAAGUGUUAGAAAGGCCAGACCAUAGCUAUUUCUAAAUCAUAACUCUCUGUCCUAGGAGACCAUACUUGCCUCUCCAUGACAAGUAACUUCAGCACGCAUGUCCAGAGAGGUACUACUUAAGGAGGGGUCCACUGGACCUAUGACUAUUAGAACAGGGGGGGAUGAGCAGUCUACCUAGCUUCCAAGAAUCAGGCAGAAUUUGAGCAUCCCCAGUAGCAAGCAGCCCACUACAUUUGUGGGGUGCUUGGGUCUCCCUUGGGGUGCAGUACUGCUGGGCACAUAGCUCUAUGUCAGACCCUCAGGGCUCUUAUCUAGAGCUGCUCCAGGAGGCUUCCCAGGAAAGUAAGUCUUCCUUCCCUGCCCCAGACUUUACAGACAACUCUCCAUCUAUUGUUCAUGCAGCCCACAGUGGGGAAUGUUCUGGAACUGCUUCAUGACGAAAGUCCCUCUCGUAUUCCAGUAAUGAGCUUUUAUUGAAUGGGGUGUGUUAGCUUUCCAUAGCUUUAGCAAAUAACAGAGAUAAUCAGCGUUUAAAGAAAAAAGGUUUAUUUUGGCUCGUUGUUUUGGAGGUUCCGGUCAGAGCCAUUGCUUGGGGACAAACCUGAGUAGAAGCCUACGGCAGAGCAAAGCCACUCAUUUCAUGGCUGGAUAAAGAAAGAAGGUCCUGAGUCCAAUUCCACAGUCUCCCCAAGGGCAUUUCCCCAAUGGCAUGAAGACUUCCAGGAGACCCAGACCUUAACACAUAAGCCUUUGGUUGGUGUGGGGUGGAGGAUAGUUCCAGAUUCAACCUGCAGCGUACCAUGUGAUUUCAAAUCCUUUGUCCCUCUGUACAGAGGAGCCAGUGUUUUGAAGGAUAGCUGGUCAGCUUGUCUCCAACUCUCCCUUUUCUAUGAAGCCUUCCUUGAUUUUUCCUUUCCUCUCAAUCAGUUGGGACAGCCCUCUCAUAUAGUUUAUGAAGCAUGUUGCAGCAUGUAUGUAAGUAUGUAUGUGUGUCCCUCCUCCCAUAGUUAGUAUCAAAUUAACUACCUUGAGGUUGAAUUAUUCUGGGUGUCUCCUCUCUGCUUUCUUCUGUCUCCUCUAACCUCUUCCGUUGGAACAAGAACCUAGUUACUCCCUGUUGAUUGGAAGUUGACCCCAGGUUGCCCCUGUGGUGUCCAGCUCUCACAAUGAGCAGUCUGGUCUGCUGUUCACAGACGUUCUCUGGUCAUUGGAAGACAGGCCCAGAGGAGCCCAGUGCCUUGUCCAAGCCUUACCCAGGUGAGGACUGGUAUUAAGCAGCAGCGGGGUCACUGACAUGGCAAAUGAACCAGCAAGGUGUGGAAUUGACUUUCCCUGUUUGCAGUCUGUCACUGCGUGUAGUGCCACAUCUGCCUGCCUUUUGUUUGCUGUCUAAUAAUCAAUAAAAUGUUAUCAGAACAGAAGAGAAAAUAUGUGAGCUUGACUGUUUGGUUUCCAUGAAGAAAGUGGAAUGCGGCUGGGUUUUCCUGGUCUAACUGCAAAGCUAGGCUCAUGUCUAAGGAGGGCGUAAAUUCAAAGGCUUAGAUCAAGGGGCCAGGGACUUGGUUCCUUUGGUAAAGUGCUUACCACAUAAGCAUGCUGGCUGCUAUAACAAAACACCAUCCAAUCCCAGUGUCUACCUGAGGUUUUCUUAUCUACUCUUCAGUUGAAUGUGAGUUGGCAUCAGUGGAUGCAGAGAAAGCUCUUUGCAGAAAUGUUGGGGCUGAAGGAGUUCUUAAUUGGUCUAUAUAAUAAAAAGGCAGAGUUAGACAUAGAGAGAAAUGCUAGAGAUCAGAGAGGAGAAGCCAGCCACAGCACACCUUACCUCCUAAGCAUCUCAGCAGAGAACAGUUUCCUGUUUCUCCCUGCUUAUAUCCUGUUUCUGCCCAGCUACACAAUUUCCUGUCUGUCUGUACAGACCUCUAGACCUCUAUGGUUAGCUAGUGGCAAGCUCCAUUCUCUGACCCCCAGACAGGCUUUAUUUGUGCAAGAAAGAUAUCACCACACAUGACACUAUUACUCCAAUCCUCUCUCUUCUGUUCACAUUGCAUUGGCAGGAAUUGGUCAGUAUGCUCCACUUGGAUGCAGGAAUCUGAGAAAUUCCCAGCUCUGUUACACAAAUGCUGGUGAACACUAGCAGUUUCUGCCACACACACACACACACCAAAUAUCCACUGUGACAACUGGGGUGUCCUUUAUUGCUUUCAUCAUGGUGGCCUUUCUGCUCCAUAAAUUCUGGCCUCUUGAAUGUGCUGUUGUCACAGCUGGUAUAUAUAGGUUCAAAGGUAUAAGGAAAGCAAGGCAGAGAUGAAGCAAAGCAGAGCCCCGAGUUUCACUUACUUUCAGCAGUGACCCCAUGUAAUUCAUUCACUCUUUCUGUGUCUUGAUUUCCAGUGUGUGCGUGCAUGUUGCAUGUAUGUAAGUAGGUGCUGAUGCACAUGUGUGUAUGUGUGUGGAAGCCAGAGGUCAAACUUAGGUGUUAGUCAUAGGAGCUGUCCACCUUUUUUUUUUUUUUUUAAGCAGGGUCUCUCACUGACCAACCGGCCUGUCUGUCUCUGCCUCCUCAGUCCUGGGAUUACAAGUGUGAACAUCUAUGCAUGGCUUUGUACAUGGGCACCGGGGCUGGAACUCCGGUCUCCACGCUUGCAUGACCUUACCACUUCAAUUUCCCAGCUGAGUCAUCUCCCUAGCCCCAGUUUCCUCCUCUGCUCUGCUUCUAAGUGGUUCCGAAGUCUGAGUGUUGGCAGUUGGAACAGAAUUUGAAGCAACAGCACCCCUUCCAUAUGUCAUCUUGGCUUUAUUUAUUCAGGGCAAGUGUUCUUGAUAUCCAUUGCUUGGGAACCAAGUAGGAUGAUUAAUCUUAAUUGUCAACUUCACCCGAGUGACACAUAGGUAGAAGAUAGUUCAUAAGGCACACCUCUGAGUGUGUCUGCCAUGGCUUUUCCAAGGAAGAGUAGGUUACCAGCACUCUGACCUAAUCAAUGGUUUGAUCCUUGAUAGAUUUAUAGUUGAUGACAUCAUUAAGAAGUGGUGGAAGGUAGGUGGUGGGGUCUAGUUAAAGGGUACAGGUGCCUGGCUCAUGUUUCUCUGACCACUUCCUCAAUCAAUCUCUUUCUUUCUCUCUCUCUCUCUCUCUCUCUCUCUCUCUCUCUCUCUCUCUCUCUCUCUCUCUCUCUCUCUCUCUCCUCCCUCCCUCUCUCUCUCUGUCUUCUCUCCUCUCUCUCCACUCUCUAUUUUCUAUGAAGAGACGCCUCUGGGUUGUGUUACCACCACCAGGACAUUUUGUGCCAGUACACCAUGGUGCCAAGCAAACAUGGACUGAACUCUCUGAAACCAUGAGCCAAAAUAGAUCAGAUUUUACUUUUAGAUUGCAUUGUCAUUAUUUUGUCACAACACAAAAUCUGACCAACUUAAGAAGUGUUUGUAGAGCCACUGAAUGAUGACUCAGUGAGUGCGGGCGUUCACUGCCAGUGCCCUGAGUUCAAUCCCUGGAACCGUGCGAUGGAGGGAGAGAACUGACUUGUGCAAAUUGCCUUCCCACUUUCACAUUUAUGUGAUGUCAUGCAUGAAAUCAAUAAAUAAAUGCUAAA
rnacentral:lncRNA from 1 species